rnacentral:other from 1 species
CUCGUCUGAGGGGACGGGAAGAUCGGCCUCGACGCUGCUUCGGUCAGUGCGUUGGGCCGGGCCUUGACAAGCAGCCCGAGGGGAGGCUCUUCGGAGCCGGACCGGAACCCUUGCGAUUGCCGCCUGCUCCUCCUCCCUGCGUUUUACGAGGGGUUUCGCGCCUUGCACCUCCCACCUCUGGACGUGUUUCCCCUUCUCUCCUCGCUUGUGGAGGGAGCCAGCGCUUAGGCCGGAGCGAGCCUGGGGGCGGCCGGCCGUGAAGGCUUCGCGGGGACCGAUUCGCCAUG